AGAUUUAUGACGUCGCCAUGACGACACUUCACUACUGAUAUCGCCAUUGUUAUCAUCAAACUGCUAUUAUCUUGCUACUGUUUUGCUGCCAUUUUCCUCGUAUUUCGCUCAUUUUCGUCUGUGUACACUAUGAGCUCCUACGCCCAAGCUGUUGACCUCGUGAUCAGGUUCCCCUUGAACUUUGACAUCUGGGCCCCUCCUCGCCAAGAAGAUCCGAAGCCAACCCCUCCACUCGCUAGUGGUGUAUCACUGAGAAGCCUUCGUCCCCAUCUGAUGUGUAUCGCGCCUGUUAUAAACACGUAUCAGUGAAACGUUUAAUAAAAUUCUGCUGUGAA
rnacentral:lncRNA from 1 species